ensembl:lncRNA
CCAAGCCUCCUUCUCCAAUGCCCUCAGACAUCACCAGUCAGAAGUCUUCCAGCUCUGUGUCAUCCGAGGCAUCAGAGACGUACCAGAUGGUCAGCGAGUGCAGCUCUCCCACGCCAUUUGGCUCCUUUGACACCUUCCAUCCAGCUUACCCUUGUAACGACGCCACCAGAUCUUUAAUAGCUCCUGCCUCUGCAUCCUGUAAUUACCUCCCUGGGUCAAAUUCCCCCUCACACACAUCACUGCAUUGGAAGGACUGGGUCUAAAGGCCCUCUCUCUGAGCAGUCUGGGGCCCUUCUGCAGCACAGCAGCGACGCGACAGCAUCCCCUAGUG